GGUAUCCUGUGUUKCUUNCCUNCGGAGAAGAAUUCGNCGGCUUAARUKUYCCCAUYCSCCUUGCMCCCCCGAAAGGUGCGGUGCGGGGCGGACCUGAGGCGGGCUCCGUGUUCCCCGCGUGCCGGGUGCGUUUGCGCUCGGUCGCUGUGGGCCGCGGGGUCUCCGCCCGUGCUCUCGGAUGUGGAACGCUGUGCGUGCGGGCGUGGGGGGUCUCGGCCCCCGCUCGUCCGAGCGGCACUCCGCWUUGUCCCUUGACGCGAACGACGGCCGUGCCCGUCUUGACCGGCCGAUCGGGCCCCCGCCGCGGGGCUCCGUUAGGGCGGCUCAUGCGGGCGUCGGSGUCG
rnacentral:misc_RNA from 1 species